UACGAAGGGUGCAAACGUUGCUCGGAAUUAUUGGGCGUAAAGCGCACGUAGGCGGCUUAGCAAGUCGGAUGUGAAAUCCCUCGGCUCAACCAAGGAAGUGCAUCCGAAACUGCUGAGCUUGAGUACUUAAGAGGAUCGCGGAAUUCCCGGUGUAGAGGUGAAAUUCGUAGAUAUCGGGAGGAACACCAGUGGCGAAGGCGGCGACCUGGGUAGAUACUGACGCUGAGGUGCGAAAGCGUGGGAGCAAACAGG
rnacentral:rRNA from 1 species